rnacentral:rRNA from 2 species
UCCUGGCUCAGGAUGAACGCUAGCUACAGGCUUAACACAUGCAAGUCGAGGGGAAACGACAUUGAAAGCUUGCUUUCGAUGGGCGUCGACCGGCGCACGGGUGAGUAACGCGUAUCCAACCUGCCCAUCACUUGGGGAUAACCUUGCGAAAGUAAGACUAAUACCCAAUGACGUCUCUAGAAGACAUCUGAAAGAGAUUAAAGAUUUAUCGGUGAUGGAUGGGGAUGCGUCUGAUUAGCUUGUUGGCGGGGUAACGGCCCACCAAGGCGACGAUCAGUAGGGGUUCUGAGAGGAAGGUCCCCCACAUUGGAACUGAGACACGGUCCAAACUCCUACGGGAGGCAGCAAUGAGGAAUAUUGGUCAAUGGACGAGAGUCUGAACCAGCCAAGUAGCGUGCAGGAUGACGGCCCUAUGGGUUGUAAACUGCUUUUAUAAGGGAAUAAAGUGAGUCUCGUGAGACCUUUUGCAUGUACUUUAUGAAUAAGGACCGGCUAAUUCCGUGCCAGCAGCCGCGGUAAUACGGAAGGUCCGGGCGUUAUCCGGAUUUAUUGGGUUUAAAGGGAGCGUAGGCCGGAGAUUAAGCGUGUUGUGAAAUGUAGAUGCUCAACAUCUGCACUGCAGCGCGAACUGGUUUCCUUGAGUACGCACAAAGUGGGCGGAAUUCGUGGUGUAGCGGUGAAAUGCUUAGAUAUCACGAAGAACUCCGAUUGCGAAGGCAGCUCACUGGAGCGCAACUGACGCUGAAGCUCGAAAGUGCGGGUAUCGAACAGGAUUAGAUACCCUGGUAGUCCGCACGGUAAACGAUGGAUGCCCGCUGUUGGUCUGAAUAGGUCAGCGGCCAAGCGAAAGCGUUAAGCAUCCCACCUGGGGAGUACGCCGGCAACGGUGCAACUCAAAGGAAUUGACGGA